CAACUAUGAUAAAAUUCAAUUUUCUUGCCCAAAAAUGCCAACGAUGUGAAAAGCAUGAAGAAAGCAAUCCAUGUUGAAACAAAAGGAAGUAAUCUGUGAUUUUUAUGCCUUGAAAAGCCAUAUAUAACAUGAAGGCAGUGAGAAAAAACUUCAAUAUUAAGAUGGAGUAUGAUAUCCUUUUACCUUACAAUCUUGGACAACCAAAAUUUUCGGGCCAAGUUAUCUUGAAGACGCUGUGUGUAUUAUGUUUCCGUUUGUUUUCACUACUAAGAAGCAGCUCCAAAAAUAUUGAAUUAAGACUCCAACAAUUGAAUUAAGAUUUUUGUUCCAAGUAAAGCAAUUAUGUACUUGAUGAAAUAAGAAAGAACUCUGACAAU
rnacentral:lncRNA from 1 species